CCUAACCCACUGAGUGAGGCCAUGGAUGGAACCUGCAUCCUCACGGAUACCAUGUUAGAUUUUUAACCCUCUGAGCCAGAGCAGGAACUCUCUCUCGGGCCCUCAUUUACUACAAAUUAAACACUCUACAGGGCCACAAGUCACAACACCCUGCAUGCAUGGGGGAGGGGGUUGCCCAGCUGGACACCUGACAUCCCUGCUGUCAGCCAGAGGCUCCUUCCGUCUCUGGACAAUGAGAGCGUGAGAGCUUGACACCUGAUCCUGGGGCUCCCCCAGGCACACCUGCCUCCCCUGCACCCCCCCCUUCUAAUCUUCAUAGCAGCUUCAGUUUUCCCACAGGGCUUCCGGGGCCCUCCCUACCUUCUGGAGCAGGCAGGCAGCAUGACAGGUGACAAAUCAAAAGUCAUUCUCUCCUGAACAGGUGUGUGCCGGGGCUCAGGGGCAGGGCAGGGAGGCCAAGGUUGGGGUGGGAGUUCCUAGAAGCCUCUGGGGCCCAGGAGCAUCUGAUCCCAUGGCUGGAACCCUGUUUUUACAGUUAGUCAAGGCUGCCAGAAGCUGUGGCUGAUUUCCUCCCCUGUCCCAAUGCCAAGUUCACUUACCAUGUUAGUUCUUACCAACUUUAGCCACCUACUCCGGGCCAGGCUUUAAGGAUUCUCAGAAAAAGACCUGCCAUCCUCUCAGCCCAAGGAUGCAGACCACCCCUACCCUCCACCCCCAUGUUUUCUCUGCCCACUUGGCUGCUGAUGGCUGGGCUCCCCAAUCCCUGAUACUAUAGGCCCCGUUGCUCCCCAGCUUUUCAGUCCAUCUGCCUCAAGGCUGGUAAGUUAUCAAUAGCCUCAAGUCCCAUCCCCAAACCCAAUGGGGGUUUAAAAUAAAAUCACCCAGUCACCUCUAAAACCACAGGAAAUGUCCUUGGACCAACUCAGAGGGUUAACUAUUUCUCUGCUUUGUGCCCCCUCAAGAUCAGCAGAGCCAGACUUAUUAAAUAAUAACAGAUUAUUUUAAAAUAAUAAUGAGGGAGUUCUUUUGCGGCACAGCAGGUUAAGAACCCAGUGUUAUCACUGCAGGGGCUUGGGUCACUACUGUGGCAUGGGUUCAGUUCCUGGCCUGAGAACUUCCACAUGAUGCAGGCAGCCAAAAAAAUAAUAAUAAUUUUAAAAUGAUGUUAACAUUAUUUAUGUAAUAAUAGCUCAUUUAAAACUAAUAAUAGUUAUCAUUAGAAGGUAAGCAACAGUACAAACACUACAAAGGCCGGUAAUUUUGUCUAUUUUGUUCACUGAUGUGUUAUGAGAGCCAAGACCAGUGUUUGGCACAUUGCAGUCAUUCAGAAAGUACUUUGAAUAAAGUAUUUACUAGGUGCCAGGCACUAUCCAAGUGCUUUUCAAGUAUUAAUUUAUUUAAUCCUUACAACGUGGUGAGGUGGGUAAUAUUACUCCCAUUUUGCAGACAGGGAAACUGAGGUACAGAGAAACUGACAAUCGACAUCGUGGUAUAGAAUGUAUACUAUUUCAUUGAACAUUUUUGGCUUUUUUUUUUAGUGCCACACAGAGCCAUAUGGAAGUUCCCAGGCUAGGGGUUGUACUGGAGCUGUAGCUGCCAGCCUACACCACAGCCAUAGCAACACCAGACCUGAGCCACAUCUGUGACCUGCCGUGGCCCACCACAAUGCCAGAUCCCCAACCCACUGAGCCAGGCCAGGGAUCAAACCCACGUCCCCGUGGACACCAGUUGGGUUCAUUAUCUCUGAGCCACAAUGGUAAUUCCAAACAUUUUUGUUUCACUUCUUUAACAAUAAUUUAUCGAUACCCAGCUCUCCUGUCUUAAACACAGACCAUGAUUGAAAAGUUGGUGGGAUGAAUCAAUAGAGCUUCCUUCAACCUCACUAUCUAUAUGUCAUUCACCAAAUGUUUUGGAAAUGAUUGGGAGUGGAGAGAAGAUGUGGGGAAGGAACCGAGGAGUCAGUGGCUAAAAUACAGACCCCAGAGUCCAAAUGGCUGGGUUUGAAUCUCCAUCUCUUCCCCUUUUUAGCUGUGUGAUCUUGGGCAAGUUGCUCAACCUCUUGUGGCCUCAGUUUCAUCAUCUUUUAAAUGGGGAUAAUAAUAGCCCUGGCCUUCUAGAGCUGUUGUGAGAAUUAAAUGAGAUAAUGCUUGCUCAGUGCUUGGCACAUAGUAAGGGCUCCGUAAAUGGUGGUUAUUACCACUGUUAAUAUGAUAUUGGUGUAACUUCUCCUUGCCCCGUAUCUGAUGUGCAGUCAAAGCCUCUUAUUAGUUCUUCCACUGGCUACACCAGCAGCUUCUUGGCAGGCGCCUGUAGCAGGUGUGACCCAUCCCUCCCCAUCUGUCAGGGUGAAUCCUCCGCCAGUUCCGGUCUGAGCUUAUAACCUGCUUAUUAGGUUAAUUAGACGCGACAUCUUUCCAAAGGCAGCCCUAACAUCUGGUGAAGGCUGCAGCUUGCCAAGAAUUUGUGGAAUGGCAAGUCCUCACCAGCCUUCGGUUGGAGCAGGUGGGGCACAGUGUGGGGAGAAGCACCAUCCCUUUCCUCUCAUGGGAUCCUUGGCUGGCUCCUGGGUCUUCCCUGGGUAGGACUGCCAGAUAAAAUACAGGAUGUCCAGUUAAAUUUGAAUUUCAGAUAAGUGCCAAAUUUAUUUCCUAAUAUAAGUCUCAAAUAAUGUAGUUCCUGUCAUGGCUCAGUGGUUAAUGAAUCCAACUAGGAACCAUGGGGUUGCGGGUUUGAUCCCUGGCCUCACUCAGUGGGUUAAGGAUCUUGCGUUGCUGUGGCUGUGGUGUAGGCCUGCAGCUACAGCUCCAAUUAGACCCCUUGCCCGGGAAUCUCCAUAUGCCACAGGUGCAGCCCUAGAAAA
ensembl:lncRNA